rnacentral:rRNA from 1 species
AAAACAUCUUCUCUUGUUUAAUAUUUUGAGAUUUGACCUGCUCUAUGAUAUUUAAAUGGCCGCGGUAUAUUGACCGUGCAAAGGUAGCAUAAUCAUUAGUCUAUUAAUUGUGGGCUUGUAUGAAUGGUUGGACGAAAUAUUAUCUGUCUCUUUAUUAUUAUAUAAAACUUAAAUUUUAAGUUAAAAUGCUUAAAUUUUUUUAUAGGACGAGAAGACCCUAUAGAUCUUGAUUUAAUUAUUAGUUUGUUUAUUUUAGUUUAUUUUUAUAAAUUAUUUUUUAUUUUUUGUUGGGGUGACAUAGAGAUAUUAUUAACUCUUUAUUUUAAUUUACAAUUAUUUUUGUUUAAUUGACCUUUUAUUAAUGUUAUAAGAUAUAGAUACCUUAGGGAUAACAGCGUAAUUUUUAUUGAGAGUUCAUAUCGACAUGAAAGAUUGCGACCUCGAUGUUGGAUUAAGAUUAUAAUUAGGUGUAGUCGUUUAAUUAUUAGGUCUGUUCGACCUUUAAAUUCUUACA